GAAAUGCGAUACGUAAUGUGAAUUGCAGAAUUCAGUGAAUCAUCGAAUCUUUGAACGCAUAUUGCGCUCUCUGGUAUUCCGGAGAGCAUGCUUGUUUGAGUAUCAGUAAACACCUCAACUCCUCUUUCUUUUUUGGAAAUGGGAGCUGGACUUGAGUGAUCCCAACGCUUUUCUCACCGAAAAGUGGCGGGUUACUUGAAAUGCAGGUGCAGCUGGACUUUUCUCUGAGCUAAAAGCAUAUCUAUUUAGUCUGCCUAAAAAGAAAGAGGAGUUGAGGUGUUUACUGAUGCAGGAUUCACAAAGACAGGCUUCGGCCGACUUUGUAAACUCGAUCUCAAAUCAAGUAAGACUACCCGCUGAACUUAA
rnacentral:misc_RNA from 1 species